AAAAUCCUUCAUUAAAGAUGCUGCACUGUCACAAGAGGUAUAUACUAGUCGGUAUUUGGCUUUGAACUCAUGCGUCUAAGUUUAUUAUGUCUUAUGUGACAAGUCCACAUUCUAAUAGCUACAUUAUAAAGAAAAAGACUACAUCAUUAUAAAGAAAAAGACUACAUCCCCCAUAGAGGUCUAUGGAAGGAAUAAACUGCUUGUGGUGCAGAUGCUAUUUUGUUAAUGGCAGAUCAGAGCUAGACAUUCAGG
rnacentral:lncRNA from 1 species